CAUAAGAUACAAUUAGGGCUCCAUCCCCAUUCCCACCGGUUAUCUAAGAAAAAAAGAAGAAAAGAAGGGGUUUUUGUUUUCUGUUGUAUCUUAAACGGAGCUCGAGCUUAGCAAUCAUUAGAAUAAAUAAGAAUAAAGGGAGGGAGAGGGAGAGGGAGAGGAUGGGAAUAGCAAGCAAAGCAGGGGAUUGGACGUUUAAGGCGUUCACGGCAGGCCUGGGCGUGGCCACCAUUUACCUCGCCGCCACUUUCUCUGUCAACGUCUACAGGGGCCUUUCUUGGCACAACGCUCAAUCGAAAAUGGACAAGCAAGACGCUGGAGAGCAAUCCGCAUGACAUCAAUUUUAAUUGUUUUCUUCAAAGUUCAAAACAAGUGUUGGUGAAUCCUUUUUUGAGGAAGGGUGUGGGUGAAAAAUUAUUAUGUAAACAUUAAUAGUAACUUCAAUGUUACGUAAUAGUCUAGCAAGUUGGAACUCCAGGCCGCUAAUUUAUUCUCCAAUUUUCUUUUGCUGUGCAACCAACAUGACAAAUAUACGCGUGAUCUUGGGAAAAUAAUGCUUCUGGGAGUCUUGAACUUCUUUUCACUGCAGCUGCUAGAGAAAGAAAGCUGGCACCUUGUCUUUCUUUGCCUUUCCUUCCCAAGGCCCUUUAUUUUUGUAGUACUGGAAAGGUAUUAAAUCCUCAAUCUAUGUGAUAAAAGACAUUUUUUUUCUAUAUUUCUUGUUUUGAAAGCUAAUAGACGAUUUAUUUGUUGUCCCUGUAUUUCUCUUC